ensembl:lncRNA
CUCAGAGUAGGACCACACCCUGACUCUGACUCAUUCAUAUACACACACACUUCUCAGGAAUCUGACGAACUUACAGCAAUACAGCCAUUUUCACAACCUUGCCCGCAGCGAAGUGUUGUCAGUGUUAAGUUGAUGAUGGACAGAGAAUGUUUCUAUGCUGUUUGUACAUUAUGUUUUAUGUAAUUGUACGGGCUGUUCAACAAAAUCCCUUCGUACAUAGCUCAACUAUAUAUCUAUGUAACAAUAUAUUUAGCACGCUAUUGGAAUGUGGGGGAGGUGGGGAAUUGCGCUGUUUAAAAAAUGCACAGAUAAAAAUACCGGAUAAAAAAAAUAUUAGCACUGAUUUGGGUCAGUGUGAAACUGUGCAGAGUACCUCAUGUUCUCCCCGGGUUUUCUCUAUAUCUUCCGGUUUCCAUCCACUUCCUAAAAACAUUCUAGUAGCUGUCAGAACUGGCUACAUUUAAUUGCCCCUAUACUGUAUAUGAAUGUGUGUGUGUGUGUGUGUGUGUGUGUGUGUGUGUGUGUGUGUUUAUGGUACCCAGCGAUGCACUAUUCCAGCCUCAUACCCAGCACUCCUGGGAUAGGCUCCGGAUUCACCGCUAGCCUGAUCAGGAUGAAGCUCUUACGGAAGAUGAAUGAAUUAAUAUUAUGAAAGAAUAUUAUUAUAUACAGAGUUGUCACUAUGUUUAAACCUUUUACUGAAUGGUGUUGCCAUAUGGCAACAAUUAAUUUAUUUAACAAUGAAUUUAUGAUAGGCAAUGAUACAUAAUUGUACUUUGAAAUUGUGCUCAUUUCAGACAUUUUACAACUGCACCAUAGUUUCAGGGGAAAGAGUGAAGAAUUCAAGAGAAAGAGUUCAUAAUAUACUUCACCCAAAUCAUGUGUGGCUCGAAUGUUUGUAUGUUUUUUGAUGUGUGUAUGUGAGAAACUGUCAGAAAGUGAAGAAAGUGUCAACAGUAAGUGCUGAAAAAAAAAAGGUGUGGUGUUUUACAGGAACAAAUAUGAAAAGUAGUUUACCAAGCCAUGCUGUUAUGUGGCUUUCAGAUUUACAUAUUGUGAACAUGACAUGUGAUGUCGGUGCUAAUACAGUAUAAUUCCAGUCAAGUGUACAGCUAAAUCAGAAUAAUGCUAUAUACAAACACUGAACUUACUUCAACCAGACAUUUUAUAGCAGAGGUUCUAACUAAAACCCCUCUAAGCCUCCC